UACGUAGGGGGCAAGCGUUGUCCGGAUUUAUUGGGCGUAAAGAGCGUGUAGGCGGCCAGGUAGGUCCGUUGUGAAAACUGGAGGCUUAACCUCCAGCUGUCGAUGGAAACCAUCUGGCUAGAGUCCGGAAGAGGAGAGUGGAAUUCCUGGUGUAGCGGUGAAAUGCGCAGAUAUCAGGAAGAACACCCGUGGCGAAGGCGGCUCUCUGGAACGCAACUGACGCUGAGACGCGAAAGCGUGGGGAGCAAACAGG
rnacentral:rRNA from 1 species